CCUACGGGAGGCAGCAGUGGGGAAUUUUGGACAAUGGGCGCAAGCCUGAUCCAGCAAUGCCGCGUGCAGGAUGAAGGCCUUCGGGUUGUAAACUGCUUUUGUACGGAACGAAACGGCGAGCUCUAAUACAGUUUGCUAAUGACGGUACCGUAAGAAUAAGCACCGGCUAACUACGUGCCAGCAGCCGCGGUAAUACGUAGGGUGCGAGCGUUAAUCGGAAUUACUGGGCGUAAAGCGUGCGCAGGCGGUGAUGUAAGACAGAUGUGAAAUCCCCGGGCUCAACCUGGGACCUGCAUUUGUGACUGCAUCGCUAGAGUACGGCAGAGGGGGAUGGAAUUCCGCGUGUAGCAGUGAAAUGCGUAGAUAUGCGGAGGAACACCGAUGGCGAAGGCAAUCCCCUGGGCCUGUACUGACGCUCAUGCACGAAAGCGUGGGGAGCAAACAGGAUUAGAUACCCUGGUAGUCCACGCCCUAAACGAUGUCAACUGGUUGUUGGGUNUUCAUUCACUCAGUGAGGACGGUACCGUGU
rnacentral:rRNA from 1 species